UUCAACCAAAAUUAGCUCCAGGUAUAUGUGUGUGUCGCUGUGUGUAGAAGGAACAAGAAGGAGGCAAUUUCCUACAAAUUGUUAGUGAUUAUCAAAGAUUUUGGGCUUCAAAAUCAUCUUCAAUCUAAACAAGAACAAGUGGUGAGCAUUCUCUAGUAUUAAAAAGCUUUUUUUAAGAUCCUGAUUGGAAAUGGGUUUUGUAUGAACUAGUUUCUAAUAUUCUUUAUUAUGAUCUAGUGUUAGCAUAUGUGGGUUGUAAUCAUCAUCUAGUAGAUCAAAUCAUUGGGUUAGUGGUUCUAACCCUAGAAGUUGGGGUUUUGUCAUAUACACUUUCAUGCAAGAUGAUCUAAGCCUUAUUAUAUGUGAAUUUUUAUGGAUUGUUAGGUAUAAUGUUCUUAAAUGAUCAUUUGCUAUCUAGGGUUGUUAUUUCCAUGAUAAUAUAAUUUCUAUAUGGAUGUAAAAUAGUGACUAAAAAUGUAUGCCUACAAGGCGUUUGAUAAAAUGUCUGAAUGAAGAUUUUUGUAAAUAUCGUGUGAAAGUUGUUGGAUUUAGGUUGCUAUACAUUUAACCAAAUGUGUCUAAGAUAUUUUAAAUUAAUGAAAUUGGAGUAUAAACUUGAAAACGGGGCUAAAGAUAUGUCUUGGGUUUGAAAUGGGAAAAAUAACAAGUGAGCUAAAUUUUUAAGAUCUGUCCAGAAUUUUAGCAAUCUAUGAAAAUAAAAUAAUCAUAUAAACUCAACCCUUGACCCGAUUAAGAUGAUUCUUUUGAGUUGGAAACCUUGCUGAGUCUGGUUUCUGAAUACUUUUAGAACAUUUGAAAUAUGGUCGUUAAGGGGGUCAAAUAGGCCAAUGAACACAUCUUCUCAGUAAAUGGUUGCACAAAAAAAUAAUAAUAGAGUUUUUGUAAAAUAUUAACUAACCAAGUGUGUUUGCAUUACUUUGGGUUAAGCUUGAAAUAUUGGUUUAUAAUAGUUUAUUACACAUUUUGAAGUGUGUUCAGAGUGUUGAAAUAGUUCAAACAUGAUACAACGAAAGUUUUGUACAAGCGGGUCAGAUGCGUAAAUUACGUGCAUAUGUUAGAUUAUUUUGAACUUGUGGACGAAUUAACAUAUGCGUUGAGUAGUUAAUGAAUGUAUACUGGUGUUAUACAUUAUGUAUCUUAAAGUUUUAUCUUGGCGUUCAAUAAGCUAGGUAUACUGAAGCGUGCAAAUCAACGGGUCAAGGUUGAAGAUAAGCUAACAAGAACACUACGGGCGAAGAGGUAAGUAAUCUUGUAUCUAAUUAAAAUAAAAGUUCAGUGAAUUAUUAGCAUGUUUAAUAUUUAUAAUUUAUCAAAGAGGAUACAGGUUGUUUUGGCUUGUAUAUUGUAUUUUUGGUACGUGACUUUAAAGAAAGUGAAAACGAGUCGUUUCGACCCGUUACCAAUGUAAGUACUUACUUGAAUCCUCUUUAAAUACAACGUCUUUAGUUUAUGAGUUUUAUAUAGGUUCGUUGUAAAUAUUUGGAAGGAUUAGUCAACAAUUUAUAAAGGAAUAUGUUGUAGAGAUUUCAAAUUUAUGAUUAAAUCUUGUAAGGUUAAAUGAGUUUUUGAUAUGCUAUGAGUGGAAAUUAAACCACAUAAGGUAGAUUUAAGUAUGAUACAUUUGUAUAGGAUGAAUGAAGUAUAACAAAUGAUUGGUUUGAAGUUUUGAACUAGAAAUGGGUCAAAACUGUUUAAAAUUGGAACAAAUAUACUAAGUGCAGGAAUCGGAGUAUCAAAAGCUGAAGUUGGCCUUCCAAACGCCAGAUCAGAGUUUCAAACGCCGGUUUGUUAUGUCGAACGCCACACCAAAACGCCAAUUUCUUUACUUGUUCCGACGUAGAGCUCCGCAGUAAGGAUGCACGUGGUCAAGGUCUCGGUUCGGAUUAAAUUAAGAUGCUUUCUUUUGUAUAAAACCUUAGAUUUAACCAAACUAUUAAGUUAAGAAAUCUUUUGUAUGUGACCAUAUAUAUAAACUUACAAGUCAAGCUCGUUAGAUGUCUUUUGAAAUGAAGGAACAAAAUGUAUUUUGAACUCAAUGUAUAUUUAGUUAAAAAAAAAUUGGGACCGUAUUCCG
rnacentral:lncRNA from 1 species